rnacentral:rRNA from 1 species
AACGAACGCUGGCGGCAUGCCUAACCAAUGCAAGUCGAACGACACCUUCGGGGCUUGCUGCUCAGGGGUGAGUAACGCGUGGGAACCUGCCCUUAGGUUCGGAAUAACUUACCGAAAGGGUUGCUAAUACAGGCUAAUGUCAUCGGAGCAAAGAUUUAUCGCCCUUGGGUGGGACCGCGUUGGAUUGGUCUGUUGGUAGGGUAAAAGCAUACCAAGGCGACGUUCCAUAGCUGGUCUGAGAGGAUGAUAAGCCACACUGGGAGUGUGACACGGCCCAGACUCCUACGCAGGGGAGCAGUGGGGGAUAUUGCACAAUGGGCGAAGGCCUGAUCCAGCAAUGCCGCGUAAGUGAUGAAGUCCGUAGGGUUGUUAUGCGCUUGUACCCGGGAUGAUAAUGACAGUACCGGGAGAAUAAGCCCCGGCUAACUCCGUG